rnacentral:rRNA from 1 species
AGCGAACGCUGGCGGCAGGCCUAACACAUGCAAGUCGAACGAACCUUUCGGGGUUAGUGGCGGACGGGUGAGUAACACGUGGGAACGUGCCUUUAGGUUCGGAAUAACUCAGGGAAACUUGUGCUAAUACCGAAUGUGCCCUUCGGGGGAAAGAUUAAUCGCCUUUAGAGCGGCCCGCGUCUGAUUAGCUAGUUGGUUGAGGUAAUGGCUCACCAAGGCGACGAUCAGUAGCUGGUCUGAGAGGAUGAUCAGCCACAUUGGGACUGAGACACGGCCCAAACUCCUACGGGAGGCAGCAGUGGGGAAUCUUGCGCAAGGGGCGAAAGCCUGACGCAGCCAUGCCGCGUGAAUGAUGAAGGUCUUAGGAUUGUAAAAUUCUUUCACCGGGGACGAUAAUGACGGUACCCGGAGAAGAAGCCCCGGCUAACUUCGUG